AAAGAAGUGGGGUGCGCAGAGUAGUUAUAUACCCCCAAACAGGAUGUUUCAUAUAGGAUUGAAGUCUCCCUUUUACAAUAGUCGCAAGACUCCUCUGUUGGCACAGCGAUUGAUGGAAACAACAGAUAGGUCUGCUGUCUCGGUGAACACAGCAGGGUGACAGGUCUGUUGUCUCAAGCUGGGUGGUCACAGGUGACCUGGGUGGUCAAAGGUCACUGCUGACAUCGAAGAUGAGAAUGAUGAAACACCUGUCUGCACAUCUGCUCUAUAUGAGGCAGUCAUUUUUGACAAUGUUGUUGCUGGGACAAACGUCAGUGGCUUCAAACUAAACUACCAUGACAGGGAUUCAUAAGAUUUUGAAAUGCACUUCGAGCUGGUCUCUGUUUCUGGGAAUGUGCAUGAAUAUGACAGCAAAACAGGUGCAAGAAAGUGGAAGAAGCCCCCAGGCAGGAGGAGGAGUCCUUGGCAAGCAUAUACUCCCUCCUAGAUGCCCACCCUUCUGAGAAGUCUACAUCCUUAAAAAUUCCUAUGCAAGGAUAGCGUUUUCCUGCGUCUCUGAGUGAGUGCCUUUUUGCGUAUGUCACUGUCACAGGCAGUUUUUUCCUUGGCUAUCUAAAAUUAAAUUGUAGAUGUGAGGCCAACUGCUUUGUGUUUCCAGCUCUCUAUAAUCUUCCAGUUCAGGGUGUCUGGGUGAGGGCAGCAGGAGUGGUCAACCUUAAGUCUCUGAAUAUGUUUUACUGAAACUAGAGACUAAAUUGACAUAUGUUCAUUGUCUGACUUUGCCCUGAGGAACGUAUGCUUGUUAUGACUGCAGACUUUGUUUUGGUCUCUGCUAUAGCCCCAGCACAUGCUUGGCACAUAGUGGGGCCCCCAUACAUAUUUGGCGACUAAAUGAAUUUGAAUAUAUGAAUUUAGGUCUCUUGCCUUUAAUUCAAAUUGCUUAUUACUCCCACGGAACAGAAAUGGGAUUCUUUAGAAAAGAACUUUUUUGGUUACCGAUAGUCAUAAAAAUGCAAGAUUUUUUUCCAGCAUUUCUAAAAAACACAAUUGAUCUUGCUUUUAAUUUUCCUUUUAUAGCACUAUGGAAAAUGGCCACUUGAAAACUUUAUUUAUUAAUGCCUUGCCAAAGAAAUGUCAGAAUCCGGACUUUUGAGAGCUAUGUACUUGGACAAAUAAGUUUUAAAAUACAUGUUCUCUGAUGCUCUCUCUCUCAGCUGCCAGAAGACCCACGAUAGCAGAAGACCAGCAGGGUUGUUGAUGGUAGAAGUUAACCCCACAUUUAACCCAAGAUAGAGUUCAACUUGGGAUAAUUUUGUUUUAACAAAUCUUAUUGAAAGUAAAACACACCACGAGCAAUGAGCUAACAUCUGAGUCAGAGGAUACCAGGGGCUUGUUGGUCAGAAAUGCCUUGAUAUUUAUCCCCUUUUGCGUGUGCACACACAGACAAUUCCUUUUCAGUCUGGGGGCACCUCACCUCCCAACGAGAGCGAGCACCUGAAAAUAAACAGGCUCUUCUUUUGCUUAUGUCUAGCUCAGGUCGAUCCUCAGGAGGCAUUAUGAUGUGGAGGACAUCAGCGGAUUUGAAGUCAUGUAGCCUUUCCGAAGAUCAGCUUUCUUCUAGAAAAUGUACGCAAUAAUUCCUGCCCUAUUUCUAUCUCAUAGUUUGGUUGUGAGGAACAACAUAAAACAAUUGAGAUUCUACAUCUGGCAUUGCUUUUUAAACUGUAAGCACUAUUUAAGCGUAAAAUAGAAUUAGUUUCAUUAAGUCAAAAUUGGCUGCUGAGAGAGCAGUGGCAUGGCAUACAGAGAGGGUGACUCCAUGCUUCUAAGCCAGUCUCCUUUGGAAUUGGUUGGUAAUUAGCUUCACAACUUCUGUGAAAGGAGUAUACUGCCUUGUUCCAGAUGGCAGGAUAAUUCUUCGCCAGGGGAGAGAGCAAAGAUUGGGAAAAUGCUCUCUCCUCUCCAGCAAGGCUCUCGCUGGAUCAAUUACGGUUAGAUGGAUGUAGAUGUGUGAAUUUCCAUCUGCCACCACCUGAGUUUUAGAGGGGGGGAAAGCAUUUAUAAACUUCCUUUUCAAUGUCUGGAUUGAAUUAAUUAACAUUGAAACUGCCUGUUCCAGAAUCAAGAAAAAUUAAGUUGGCAUUUGCUUUCCUCUGUUUAGUUGUUUGGGGUCUCAGUUUCAGACAUGACCAAGAGACAAUACACAAGCUGGAGGCAAC
ensembl:lncRNA